rnacentral:tRNA from 1 species
GAGGGUAUAGCUCAGUGGUAAGUGUGUGCUUAGCAGGCAGGAAGUCCUGGAUUCGAUCCCCAGUACCUCCA